ACGGAGGGUGCAAGCGUUGCUCGGAAUUAUUGGGCGUAAAGGGCAAGUAGGUGGUCUCAUUUGUCUGGGGUGAAAGCCUUGGGCUUAACUCAAGAAGUGCCCCGGAAACGGUGAGACUAGAGUCCUAGAGAGGGUCGUGGAAUUCCCGGUGUAGCGGUGAAAUGCGUAGAGAUCGGGAGGAACACCAGAGGCGAAGGCGGCGACCUGGAUAGGUACUGACACUCAACUGCGAAAGCGUGGGGAGCAAACAGGA
rnacentral:rRNA from 1 species